CUUCGGGGUACACGAGCGGCGAACGGGUGAGUAACACGUGGGUGAUCUGCCUCGCACUCUGGGAUAAGCCUGGGAAACUGGGUCUAAUACCGGAUAUGACCUUACAUCGCAUGGUGUUUGGUGGAAAGAUUUAUCGGUGCGAGAUGGGCCCGCGGCCUAUCAGCUUGUUGGUGGGGUAAUGGCCUACCAAGGCGACGACGGGUAGCCGGCCUGAGAGGGCGACCGGCCACACUGGGACUGAGACACGGCCCAGACUCCUACGGGAGGCAGCAGUGGGGAAUAUUGCACAAUGGGCGAAAGCCUGAUGCAGCGACGCCGCGUGAGGGAUGACGGCCUUCGG
rnacentral:rRNA from 1 species